GAUGAACGCUGGCGGCGUGCCUAAUACAUGCAAGUCGAGCGAACAGACGAGGAGCUUGCUCCUCUGACGUUAGCGGCGGACGGGUGAGUAACACGUGGAUAACCUACCUAUAAGACUGGGAUAACUUCGGGAAACCGGAGCUAAUACCGGAUAAUAUAUUGAACCGCAUGGUUCAAUAGUGAAAGACGGUUUUGCUGUCACUUAUAGAUGGAUCCGCGCCGCAUUAGCUAGUUGGUAAGGUAACGGCUUACCAAGGCAACGAUGCGUAGCCGACCUGAGAGGGUGAUCGGCCACACUGGAACUGAGACACGGUCCAGACUCCUACGGGAGGCAGCAGUAGGGAAUCUUCCGCAAUGGGCGAAAGCCUGACGGAGCAACGCCGCGUGAGUGAUGAAGGUCUUCGGAUCGUAAAAUUCUGUUAUUAGGGAAGAACAAAUGUGUAAGUAACUAUGCACGUCUUGACGGUACCUAAUCAGAAAGCCACGGCUAACUACGU
rnacentral:rRNA from 1 species